rnacentral:misc_RNA from 1 species
GAUGAAGAACGUAGCGAAAUGCGAUAAGUAAUGUGAAUUGCAGAAUUCAGUGAAUCAUCGAAUCUUUGAACGCACAUUGCGCCCGCCAGUAUUCUGGCGGGCAUGCCUGUUCGAGCGUCAUUUCAACCAUCAAGCCCCCGGCUUGUGUUGGGGACCUGCGGCUGCCGCAGACCCUGAAAACCAGUGGCGGGCUCGCUAGUCACUCCGAGCGUAGUAAUACAUCUCGCUCAGGGCGUGCUGCGGGUUCCGGCCGUUAAAAGCCUUAUUUACCCAAGGUUGACCUCGGAUCAGGUAGGAAGACCCGCUGAACUUAAGCAUAUCAAUAAGCGGAGGA